UUGGAGGGCAAGUCUGGUGCCWGCAGCCGCGGUAAUUCCAGCUCCAAUAGCGUAUAUUAAAGUUGUUGCAGUUAAAAAGCUCGUAGUUGAAUUUCGAGAUCAGUACGCUGGUCGUGCCUUCGGUAUGCACUGGUGUCACUGGUUUCUCCCUUCUGAAGAACCGUCAUGCCAUUCAGUUGGUGUGGCGGGGAAUCAGGACUGUUACUUUGAAAAAAUUAGAGUGUUUAAAGCAGGCUCGCGCUUGAAUACAUUAGCAUGGAAUAAUGAAAUAGGACGUUUGACCCUAUUUUGUUGGUUUCUAGGAUCGACGUAAUGAUUAAUAGGGAUAGUUGGGGGCAUUAGUAUUCAAUUGUCAGAGGUGAAAUUCUUGGAUUUAUUGAAGACUAACUACUGCGAAAGCAUUUGCCAAGGAUGUUUUCAUUAAUCAAGAACGAAAGUUAGGGGAUCGAAGACGAUCAGAUACCGUCGUAGUCUUAACCAUAAACUAUGCCGACUAGGGAUCGGAUGAUGUUAAUUUUUUAAUGACUCAUUCRGCGCCUUACGGGAAAC
rnacentral:rRNA from 1 species